rnacentral:rRNA from 1 species
UACGUAGGGUGCGAGCGUUGUCCGGAAUUAUUGGGCGUAAAGGGCUCGUAGGCGGUUUGUCGCGUCGGGGAGUGAAAACUCAGGGCUUAACCCUGAGCCUGCUUCCGAUACGGGCAGACUAGAGGUAUGCAGGGGAGAACGGAAUUCCUGGUGUAGCGGUGAAAUGCGCAGAUAUCAGGAGGAACACCGGUGGCGAAGGCGGUUCUCUGGGCAUUACCUGACGCUGAGGAGCGAAAGUGUGGGGAGCGAACAGG